rnacentral:rRNA from 1 species
CUAUAUAAUAGUUAAAACUUUCAACAACGGAUCUCUUGGUUCUGGCAUCGAUGAAGAACGCAGCGAAAUGCGAUAAGUAAUGUGAAUUGCAGAAUUCAGUGAAUCAUCGAAUCUUUGAACGCACAUUGCGCCCCCUGGUAUUCCGGGGGGCAUGCCUGUUCGAGCGUCAUUACAACCCUCAAGCUCUGCUUGGUAUUGGGCCCCGCCGGUUCCGGCAGGCCUUAAAAUCAGUGGCGGUGCCAU